CGUCCGUCCCAUUUUUAUUGUACAUUAUUACACAAUGCGCCGAUUCGCCAGCGCUUUCUAGGCACCGUGGUGAAAUUUUAUUGUGAAGAAAAGAAAUGUACCGAACCGACAUUUCUUAGAGCUUCAACCCUGUAAUCAUUACUGAUACUGAGGAUAGGUGCGACAUAUAAUCGCGAUGGUAUCAUUUCGUGUGCUAUGCGCAUUCUGCCUUGUCUCGGGCAUUAUCGCGCACAGUGCAUCCCCGACCUGCAAGUCUAGUGGCUAUCAGUGCAAGCUGAGAAUAUUUUGCCCGAUGGAAUACAGGGUAGACCUAAAAGGCUGCUGGUGGUGGAGCACGUGCUGCAAAAAAAAGAAAUUGGACACCUGUUCGUCAAUCCACGGGACCUGCCAAAGCGUCUCCAAGCGAUGCAGCGGACUUGUGCACUCGAAAAUGCCAUGUCCUGAAGGCCAGAGUUGCUGUGUCCCCGUUGUGCACUAGUGACCAUCGCGUCCUGUGACGAAUUUGCUCGGCAUGUCCCUCGCUGCCCUAUUUACUGAAUAUUUCAUUAAUAAAGCUUUCCAUAUUCAGUGAA